rnacentral:lncRNA from 10 species
CUGAGGUGGGCAGAUCUCUUGAGGUCAGGAGUUUGAGACCAGCCUGGUCAAUAUAGUGAAACCUUAUCUCUACUAAAAAUACAAAAAUUAGCCGGGCGUAGUGGCGGGCACCUGUAAUCCCAGCUACUCAGGAGGCUGAGGUGCGAGAAUCACUUGAACCCGGGAGGAGGAGGUUGCAGUGAGCCACGAUCAUGCCACUGCACUCCAGCCUGGGUGAUAGAGUGCAACUCCAACUCAAAAAAAAAAAAAAAAAAGUAUAUAUUUGUUGAUUUGCACAUCACCUAAGAAAACCAUAAGCUAAGAAGGU